rnacentral:tRNA from 1 species
GGUGUUUUGGCCGAGUUGGUCUAAGGCGUCAGACUUAAGAUCUGAUGGACAGUUGUCCGCGCGAGUUCGAACCUCGCAGGCACCA